GUUAAACACUUUACUGACAAUUGGUUGUUCAUUGCUUCUUAAAGAGUCAUUCAUAUGCCAAAGGGCUUAAGAAUAAAUUUUUUUCUUAUUUGGAUCAGUUGGCAGUAGUAUUUGAUGGAGAUAGAGCAACUGGACAAGCAGCUGAGGCACUAGCAGAAGCUGUAGAGCAUAUGGAGCAAGAAGGAGUAGCAAAUACUGAGUUUGUUAAUAAAGAGAUGUCUGAUGU
rnacentral:lncRNA from 1 species